rnacentral:rRNA from 1 species
UACGGGGGGGGCAAGCGUUGUUCGGAAUUACUGGGCGUAAAGGGCUUGUAGGCGGCCAACUAAGUCGAACGUGAAAUCCCCGGGCUCAACCCGGGAACUGCGUCCGAUACUGGAAGGCUUGAAUCCGGGAGAGGGAUGCGGAAUUCCAGGUGUAGCGGUGAAAUGCGUAGAUAUCUGGAGGAACACCGGUGGCGAAGGCGGCAUCCUGGACCGGCAUUGACGCUGAGGCGCGAAAGCCAGGGGAGCAAACGGG